rnacentral:lncRNA from 1 species
UAGUUUGAACAACCUCACCAUCAUUUUUACUUACACUUUUUACUACUUGUUCUCAGGUGAUGCUGCACUUGAGGAGUUUGCUCAUGAACCUAAUCCCAAUGACGGUAAUGGUGCCAAAGGAGAUGACGGAGAUCAUCUGCAAGAAGUGGAUGACGAUGGUGAUGCUGCACUUGAGGAGUUUGUUCAUGAACCUAAUCCUAAUGACAGUAAUGGUGCAGGAGGAGAUGGCAGAGAUCAUCUGCAAGAAGGGGAUGACGACAGUGAUGAUGACCCUGACUAUAAAAUGGUAGAUGUCAUUCGAAGACCAUGGAAUACUCAUGAUUUUUUUGAUGUAGGAAGUCUUGACUUAUCUGGCUACAAUGCAGCAUGGCAACUAGACAAUGGAGUCAGGCUACUACUUGUGGGCAAGGGUGAGAUAUGGAACAGAUACAGGAGCUCGAUGUUAUAGUCAUCACGGAAGAUUAGAUUCCGUACCUACCUACCUACCUACCUACCUAUGGCAGUCAGCGAGAUGGGGGGGGGGGGGUGAAUCAAGUCGACUGAGAGAGGGGAGAAAACAUAUGAAACAGUUUGUAAAAAGUAACGUCGAAGAUAGUUGAUAGUUCUGAGUUCAAAGAAACACUCAAAUUCUAUUACUUUGGGAAACAGAGUACUGACUACUGAUCAGGUUUUGAGCUAGAUAUGGGGGCUGAAAGAUAUGAACACUUACGAAGUCUCUUUCGGUUUUUUUCUUCCUACCGCGUAUUGGCAUUCGAUGAUUUUUAUCUCUUUUACAUAAAUAAUUGUCUUGCAAUUCUAGCAGUGAUCAUAUUCAAGGAUUCAACAAUUCUUCGCCAAACUGGGAUGCUGGAACCUGGAGUGGUAUGAAUUCAUGUGUUUGAGAUAAAAUUGAAUCUGAAAAAUGGCUAUAGCAGUUACAACGCUCUUCCGAGUUCUGUUGAGUUGCGAAUUUAGACCGGCCAUUCAUGACCUACGUAUCAAAUCUAGACAGUUUGAGUGACAGCAACCCCCAUCUUUUGUGCAUCAUGUGAAAGAAGUCUUCUAAAAAACCCUCAAUUAGCUGGGACUGGUAAAUGUUACCAGUUCCUAUAAGUUUAAUUCGAUGUUUGAUUGUUUGAUGAUCACGGUUCAGAGAUGGUUCUAUUAGGGCAUGUAAAGUCAUCAUUUGAUCAGGAGUUAGGACCAUUACCUCACAGCCUUCAUCCCCCGGACCAUUGUCUCUCACCUGUAUCGCGUUGGCACUUGGUCUUGGCCAGAUCGAAGACAAGGUUCCUUUCCUCAUCGUCUCCUCCUCUCUUUGAAGGACAGCCUCUUCUCUACCGAGUACCGACGUCGAUGCCUCGACCAAAACAAGUUUCAUAUCGAAAUAAAUUGAAAUAAUUUUCUGAAUAAAGUUUUGUUCAAAACUCUCCUACCUUCCAAUGCCAAAUCUUAUCUUUGUCGGAACUCUAAAGUUUGGCAGUAGUGCUACAUUUAUCAUCUAUUUAUACUCUCACUUGUACCAUUUUUUUAAUUGAGGUAAAAUCCGCGUAGGUCUCAUCUCUAUUAGAGAAAUAUACAGAUGGUAUCAUAAAUAGAUGGUAAGAAAAUCAUUUUUGGUUAUAAUUUAGCGUUCAAAAAAUUACAAUUGUGUUUCAAUCUUAGUCCAAGGACUUAUCGACAUAAAAUGUUAUAUUAUUGCAACCUAACAAGUCCGUUUCAACAUAAAAUGUUACAAUAUUAGAAACAAUAAAAU